rnacentral:lncRNA from 1 species
ACUCAGGAGCUGGCCUCAUAUGAGUCCAAACUCGGUGAUUUGGAGGCAAAAUUAUCUGCAAUCCUUUCUGAGAAGGAUGAAACAGUUGAGCAGCUUCACAUUUCAAAGAAGGCCGUUGAGGAUUUGAGGCAGCAGCUCUCUGAUGAAGGGCAGAAACUACAGUCUCAGGUUCGCAUCAUCAUUUGUGGUUUUUCAUUUCUUGGUAAAUAAUUAUUUGGCGAUUAUUUUGGCCAUAGUCUUCUAACUUGAUAAGUUUUCAAAUUUCAGAUAUCUUCAGUUAUGGAAGAGAACAACCUCCUCAAUGAAACAUAUCAAAAUGGAAAGAAAGAACUUCAAUCAGUGAUCAUCCAGCUUGAAGAAGAACUGAUGGGAC